AUAAUCACAGUGACCAUCGACACGCUGGAGAAUUUUCCGAAGGCCAUUUACGCUAAAGGAGCCCCACUUACCAACUGCUGGGGCUUCAUUGAUGGCACUGCGCGUGCUAUAUGCCGACCAACUAGGCAGCAGCAGCUUUAUUUCAGCGGGCACAAAAGAUUUCAUUCCCUGAAGUUCCAAACCAUAAUGUGCCCGAAUGUCAUCAUUUGUCAGUUGGAUGGAUGUUAUCCGGGCAGCAAGCACGAUGCUAGUGAGUAAAGGACAGUUCAUAUUCCUGGAA